GGAAUAUUGGUCAAUGGUCGGAAGACUGAACCAGCCAUGCCGCGUGAGGGAAGAAGGCCCUAUGGGUUGUAAACCUCUUUUGCACGGGAGUAAUAAGGAUCUUGCGAGGUCCGAUGAGAGUACCGUGCGAAUAAGCAUCGGCUAACUCCGUGCCAGCAGCCGCGGUAAUACGGAGGAUGCAAGCGUUAUCCGGAUUUAUUGGGUUUAAAGGGUGCGUAGGCGGACCCUUAAGUCAGCGGUGAAAUACCCCGGCUCAACCGGGGGGCUGCCGUUGAUACUGGGGGUCUCGAGGGCGAACGGGGCCGGCGGAAUGUGUCAUGUAGCGGUGAAAUGCAUAGAUAUGACACAGAACACCGAUCGCGAAGGCAGCUGGCGAGGACGCGACUGACGCUGAGGCACGAAGGUGCGGGGAUCAAACA
rnacentral:rRNA from 1 species